GUGACACUAUAGAAUACUCAAGCUAUGCAUCCAACGCGUUGGGAGCUCUCCCAUAUGGUCGACCUGCAGGCGGCCGCGAAUUCACUAGUGAUUGGGAUCGCCCUUAGAGUUUGAUCCUGGCUCAGGAUGAACGCUGGCGGCGUGCUUAACACAUGCAAGUCGAACGGUGAACACGGAGCUUGCUCUGUGGGAUCAGUGGCGAACGGGUGAGUAACACGUGAGCAACCUGCCCCUGACUCUGGGAUAAGCGCUGGAAAUGGCGUCUAAUACUGGAUAUGUGACGUGACCGCAUGGUCUGCGUCUGGAAAGAAUUUCGGUUGGGGAUGGGCUCGCGGCCUAUCAGCUUGUUGGUGAGGUAAUGGCUCACCAAGGCGUCGACGGGUAGCCGGCCUGAGAGGGUGACCGGCCACACUGGGACUGAGACACGGCCCAGACUCCUACGGGAGGCAGCAGUGGGGAAUAUUGCACAAUGGGCGCAAGCCUGAUGCAGCAACGCCGCGUGAGGGAUGACGGCCUUCGGGUUGUAAACCUCUUUUAGCAGGGAAGAAGCGAAAGUGACGGUACCUGCAGAAAAAGCGCCGGCUAACUACGUGCCAGCAGCCGCGGUAAUACGUAGGGCGCAAGCGUUAUCCGGAAUUAUUGGGCGUAAAGAGCUCGUAGGCGGUUUGUCGCGUCUGCUGUGAAAUCCGGAGGCUCAACCUCCGGCCUGCAGUGGGUACGGGCAGACUAGAGUGCGGUAGGGGAGAUUGGAAUUCCUGGUGUAGCGGUGGAAUGCGCAGAUAUCAGGAGGAACACCGAUGGCGAAGGCAGAUCUCUGGGCCGUAACUGACGCUGAGGAGCGAAAGGGUGGGGAGCAAACAGGCUUAGAUACCCUGGUAGUCCACCCCGUAAACGUUGGGAACUAGUUGUGGGGUCCAUUCCACGGAUUCCGUGACGCAGCUAACGCAUUAAGUUCCCCGCCUGGGGAGUACGGCCGCAAGGCUAAAACUCAAAGGAAUUGACGGGGACCCGCACAAGCGGCGGAGCAUGCGGAUUAAUUCGAUGCAACGCGAAGAACCUUACCAAGGCUUGACAUAUACGAGAACGGGCCAGAAAUGGUCAACUCUUUGGACACUCGUAAACAGGUGGUGCAUGGUUGUCGUCAGCUCGUGUCGUGAGAUGUUGGGUUAAGUCCCGCAACGAGCGCAACCCUCGUUCUAUGUUGCCAGCACGUAAUGGUGGGAACUCAUGGGAUACUGCCGGGGUCAACUCGGAGGAAGGUGGGGAUGACGUCAAAUCAUCAUGCCCCUUAUGUCUUGGGCUUCACGCAUGCUACAAUGGCCGGUACAAAGGGCUGCAAUACCGCGAGGUGGAGCGAAUCCCAAAAAGCCGGUCCCAGUUCGGAUUGAGGUCUGCAACUCGACCUCAUGAAGUCGGAGUCGCUAGUAAUCGCAGAUCAGCAACGCUGCGGUGAAUACGUUCCCGGGUCUUGUACACACCGCCCGUCAAGUCAUGAAAGUCGGUAACACCUGAAGCCGGUGGCCUAACCCUUGUGGAGGGAGCCGUCGAAGGUGGGAUCGGUAAUUAGGACUAAGUCGUAACAAGGUAGCCGUAAAGGGCGAUCCAAUCGAAUUCCCGCGGCCGCCAUGGCGGCCGGGAGCAUGCGACGUCGGGCCCAAUUCGCCCUA
rnacentral:rRNA from 1 species